rnacentral:rRNA from 1 species
CCCUUAGAUGUUCUGGGCCGCACGCGCGCUACACUGAUCAGUGCAACAAGCAUCCGUCCUUGGCCGACAGGCCCGGGCAAUCUUUGAACGCUGAUCGUGAUGGGGAUAGACUUUUGCAAUUUUUGGUCUUCAACGAGGAAUUCCUAGUAAACGCAAGUCAUCAACUUGCAUUGAUUACGUCCCUGCCCUUUGUACACACCGCCCGUCGCACCUACCGAUUGAAUGGUCCGGUGAAGCCUCCGGAUUGGCGUGCACCCUCGGGUGCCGCCGAGAAGUUGGCUAAACCUUACCAUUUAGAGGAAGGUGAAGUCGUAACA